rnacentral:rRNA from 1 species
GGAGGGUGCAAGCGUUGUCCGGAUUUAUUGGGGUUUAAAGGGGUGCGUAGGCGGCCUAUUAAGUCAGUGGUGAAAGGUAUCAGCUUAACUGAUGACGUGCCAUUGAAACUGACAGGCUUGAGUACAGACGAGGUAGGCGGAAUUUAUGGUGUAGCGGUGAAAUGCAUAGAUACCAUAAAGAACACCGAUAGCGAAGGCAGCUUACUAGACUGUAACUGACGCUGAGGCACGAAAGCGUGGGGAGCGAACAGGAUUAGAUACCCUGGUAGUCCACGCUGUAAACGAUGAUUACUGGAUGUGUGCGAUAGACAGCACGCGUCUGAGCGAAAGCGUUAAGUAAUCCACCUGGGGAGUACGAUCGCAAAGAUUG